UGAAUACGAGAUGCUACGGCGUCGAAGCAGUCUAUGUCAUACUUCCAAGAAAAGCUUGCACUGUCAUAAACAAAUAAUGCCUGUACCAUAACCGACACAGGUGGGUAGGUAGAGUAUACUAAGGGGCGCGAGAUAACUCUCUCUAAGGAACUCGGCAAAAUGACUCCGUAACUUCGGGAGAAGGAGUGCCUUAUUUUAUAAGGUUGCAAUAACAAGAUCCAAGCAACUGUUUACCAAAAACACAGGUCUCCGCUAAGUCGUAAGACGAUGUAUGGGGGCUGACGCCUGCCCAGUGCCAGAAGGUUAAAGAAGUUGGUCAGCAUCCGCGAAGCUGAUAACUGAAGCCCUGGUGAACGGCGGCCGUAACAAUAACGGUCCUAAGGUAGCGAAAUUCCUUGUCGGGUAAGUUCCGACCCGCACGAAAGGCGUAAUGAUUUGGAUACUGUCUCAGAGAGGGGCUCGGUGAAAUAGACUUGUCUGUGAAGAUGCGGACUACCUGCACCAGGACAGAAAGACCCUAUGAAGCUUUACUGUAACUUGAAAUUGAAAUUGGACUUUACUUGCGCAGUAUAGGUGGGAGGCGUUGAGAAUAUUCUUGCGGGAAUGUUGGAGCCAUCAGUGAGAUACCACUCUUGUAAUGUUAGAUUUCUAACUUUGUAUCAUUAUCUGGUCAAAGGACAGUUUCAGGCGGGCAGUUUGACUGGGGCGGUCGCCUCCCAAACGGUAACGGAGGCGCACAAAGGUUUCCUCUGAACGGGUAGAAAUCGUAUCUAGAGUGUAAAGGCAUAAGGAAGCUUGACUGUGAGACCUACAAGUCGAGCAGGGACGAAAGUCGGUCUUAGUGAUCUGACGGUGCUGAGUGGAAAGGCCGUCACUCAACGGAUAAAAGUUACUCUAGGAUAACAGGCUGAUCUCCCCCAAGAGUUCACAUCGACGGGGAGGUUUGGCACCUCGAUGUCGGCUCAUCGCAUCCUGGGGCGGUAGUACGUCCCAAGGGUUGGGCUGUUCGCCCAUGAAAGCGGUACGCGAGCUGGGUUCAGAACGUCGUGAGACAGUUCGGUCCAUAUCCGGUGUAGGCGUUAGAAUAUUGAGAGGAGCCUUCUUUAGUACGAGAGGACCGAGAAGGACAUACCUCUGGUGUACCAGUUAUCGUGCCAACGGUAAACGCUGGGUAGCUAUGUAUGGAGUGGAUAACCGCUGAAAGCAUCUAAGUGGGAAGCCCACCUCAAGAUAAGUAUUCUC
rnacentral:rRNA from 1 species